UCUGUGCCUAGACACCACCUUUGAUUUCGCAGGGCAGCGCACCAGGGCUAGGCCGCAAGGGGGUCGCGAUUCAGCAGGUGUGAACUCCAGCGGGGGAGUCGGGGAGAGACAGCAGGCCAGUGGUCCUUCAGGGAAGAUGCAGAAGAGGAUUCUUUUUUAAUUUUUCUGGUCUGUUCUACAUAACUGAAUGCCAGGGACCCAACCUGGAUGGGCAGGGGGUGCCAGGUGCAGACCUGACUCUGCACUAGGAAGUAAUGCCUAUCACCACCGGCAGGCGUGUGUGCCUCUCAGCCCUUCCCAGAGGACAAUCCCGAACCACUGAUCCAAAGCCUUAAAACCCUGCAUAACUUUUGACCCAGGCCCCACUGCUAGGAAUGAAGAACACAGUAAAGAUAGAGCAUGGCCUUGGAGACGUUACUUCACCUCUCUGAGCUUCAGGCUUCUCACCUGUACGAUGAAGACAGCACCUGCCUCAUGGAUUUGCUAAUAUAUGCAAAAUGCAUAGCUUGUUGCCUGGAAGAUAAUAAGUACCCAAAUGUUAGUUGUUUUUAUUUUUCGCUCAAUUUUCUACAUAUAAACAUGUCAUUGUGCUCCGUGCUGGGGAUAUGGCAAUGACAGCUAAACUCCAGAAGAGAAAGAUUAAACCCACACUCACAGACGAUUAA